rnacentral:SRP_RNA from 1 species
GCCGGGCAUGGUGGCACAUGCCUGUAGUCCCAGCUACUCGGGUGGCUGAGGUGGGAGGAUUGCUUGAGCCCAGGAGUUCUGGGCUGUAGUGAGCUAUGCCGAUCGGGUGUCCAUACUAAGUUCGGCAUCAAUAUGGUGACCACCAGGUUGCCUAAGGAGGGGUGAACCGGCCCAGGUCGGAAACGGAGCAGGUCAAAACUCCAGUGCUGAUCAGUAGUGGGAUCAUGCCUGUGAAUAGCCACUGCACUCCAGCCUGGGCAACUGAAUGAGACUCCAUCUC